rnacentral:rRNA from 1 species
AGUUUGAUCCGUGGCUCAGGAUGAACGCUGGCGGCGUGCCUAACACAUGCAAGUCGAACGAAGCAUACACCACGGAAGCCUCCGGGCGGAAGAGGGGUAUGACUGAGUGGCGGACGGGUGAGUAACGCGUGGGCAACCUGCCCUGUACCGGGGGAUAACACCCAGAAAUGGGUGCUAAUACCGCAUAAGCGCACAGUGCCGCAUGGCACGGUGUGAAAAACUCCGGUGGUACAGGAUGGGCCCGCGUCUGAUUAGCUAGUUGGCAGGGUAACGGCCUACCAAGGCAGCGAUCAGUAGCCGGCUUGAGAGAGUGACCGGCCACAUUGGGACUGAGACACGGCCCAAACUCCUACGGGAGGCAGCAGUGGGGAAUAUUGCACAAUGGGGGAAACCCGUGAUGCAGCGACGCCGCGUGAGUGAAGAAGUAUUUCGGUAUGUAAAGCUCUAUCAGCAGGGAAGAAGAUGACGGUACCUGACUAAGAAGCCCCGGCUAACUACGUG